GUGAAGUCUUUGUAUACAUAUACCUAGAGCAUGAGGGCGGAGAAGGCAAUGGCACCCCACUCCAGUACUCUUGCCUGGAAAAUCCCAUGGAUGGAGGAGCCUGGUAGGCUGCAGUCCAUGGGGUCACUGAGUAAGACAUGACUGAGUGACUUCACUUUCACUUUUCACUUUUCAUGCAUUGGAGAAGGAAAUGGCAACCCCUUCCAGUGUUCUUGCCUGGAGAAUCCCAGGGACGGGGGAGCCUGUUGGACUGCCGUCUGUGGGGUUGCACAGAGUCGGACACGACUGAAGUGACUUAGUUUAGCAGAGCAUGAGGACAGUAGAUGGCAUUAUGAGAGAAAAAUGAAGUGAUAGUUCUUCAAGAACUGUCUUGUUUAGACAAAGAAAGUCUUUUUUUUUUUUUUUUAAUUCAGGUCACCCAGAUUUUUCUCCAGGUUCUGCUGACUGAUCUACCUUAUACUUCCACUAUUUAAUUCCACACCAGUUUGAACAGAGAAUUCACUUUUUUGUCUUGUGUAAUGCACUUGUGUACAAAGUUCUCAGUCUUCUGCGCUUAUCGCGGUUUGCCUUGCACAGAGCAUUCGUGACUUUUUGUCAGUUUACCCUUGCCUUACUAUCUGGAGAGUGAAGGCUGCUGUCAUCCUUGGUCAGGUUGGGCUGACUUCUGUGCGGGCCCAGCAGUGCCCUCUCUGGCCCCUCUCUAUUUCUUUGUACCUGCUCUUACCACAAACAGCAGCGUUCUUGCCCAUGGGAACAAUUUUCACGCUCCUGGAGUCCCUUGUGAUAUGAGUCUAAGACUAAACUGCUGUCCCUUUGUAUGGAGUCCUGGGUAUCAAACUAUUGCCACGUCAAGUUUUCUUUAUAUAGGUCAGUUUUUGUGGAAGGUCUAGACACUUCAGAGAAUGGAGGGCUAUAUAAAAUGUAUAUAUUUUAUACUAUAUAUGAAUUAUAUCGGGAUUAAAGAUACUUACAUUUUCUAUAGCCUUUUUGGUCCAUAUGCUUAGUCAUGAUUUGAGAGAGAGGUAAGUUAAACAUUCUACUUACAGGUUAUUGUCAAGUUCUCCUUUUAUUUUCUUUGGUUUUUUACUUUUUUCCUGUACCAUAUGUGGCUAUGUUUUCUGUACAAUAUGUUGCUUAUGAACUCAGAAUUGUCAGAUUUCCAUUGUGAGUUUUACCUUGAUCUUUAUAUUUUUAUAUUAUUUUUUUCCUCACUGAAUGCUUUUGAAAUUCCAGAUAUUACGAAUAUGACCUAUUUUAUUUUGGCUUGCACUUGCCUGAUACACCUUUAUUUAUCAUUUUAUUUUUGAUAUUGUGUUGAUUGAUUUAGGGAUUUUAUUUUAAUAUACAGUACUAUGUAGUAGAUUUUGCUUUGUGAUUCUAUUUUAGUAUCUUAUUUCAUAUAUUAGAAUAGUCUAGUUGUAUUCAUUUAUAUGUAGUGUAUCUUUGCUCUUAAGUUAUGCUUUCUGGUAUUAUUGCUUAGUUUAUCUUUUUGUAGAGGGAUACUUUUCAUUGCAAGUAAGAAAAACUUCAAAUGAAAUAAAUUUAAAGUUUAAAGAAGGUACAAAGUUGGUGAGCUCCAGCCACAGUUCUAUCAGGAUGGCUGCGUGUUGCCGUGUUCAUGUCCAGCACAACAGAAACUGAGGAAGACUCUCCUUCAGCCAUGGAACUGCUGGGCAAGAGGAUAGAGUGCCGAAUAGCCAGAUGCUUUAAUUCCAUUUUUAGCAAUGAAGUUUGUGCAUGUGAAACAUGCAUGUGGAACCACCUGGUUAGAAGGUUUUUUCCAACACUGUCAAAGCCUCUUCAGGAACAAAGCAAAGUCACCGCUCCGAAAAGUUCCAAAACCACUGCUGAUGGUGACUGCAGCCAUGAAAUUAAAAGACGCUUGCUCCUUGGAAGAAAAGCUAUGACCAGCCCAGACAGCAUAUUAAAAAGCAGAGACAUUCAUUACUUUGCCAACAUAGGUCUGUCUAGUCACGGCUAUGGUUUUGCCAGUAGUCAUGUAUGGAUGUGAGAAUUGGACUAUAAAGAAAGCUGAACACUGAAGAAUUAAUGCUUUUGAACUGUGGUGUUGGAGAAGACUCUUGAGUGUCCCUUGGACUGCAAGGAUAUCCAACCAGUCCAUCCUAAAGGAGCUUAGUCCUGAAUAUUCAUUGGAAGGACUGAUGCUGAAUCUGAAACGCCAAUACUUUGGCCACCUGGUGCAAAGAACUGACUCACUGGAAAAGACCCUGAUUCUGGGAAAGAUUGAAGGCAGGAGGAGAAGGGAUGAGGUGGUUGGGUGGUAUCACCAACUCAAUGGACAUGAGUUUGAGUAAACUCCAGUUGGUGAUGAACAGGGAAGCCUGGCAUGCUGCAGUCCAUGGGGUCACAAAGAGUCAGACAUGACUGAGCGACUGAACUGAACUGAUUUUGUUAGAAAAUCUUUGCAUUAAAUAUUUAAGAAAACAUGGUCAAUUGAGUCAGCUUGUGAUUCCAAUUGUAAGAUGUGUAAUUGAUUUAAUUUGAUUUUAACCUGAAAUCAAACUUAAUUUUUAGAUGUAUAAGAAUUAUAUGAGCACCUUGGAUUAUUUGUCAGAUGUUUAAAUAUUUAAAAUACUUUUUAAAAUGCUUAAACAAGCGUCAUGGAGCAAGCUAGUUAAUGGACUGAAUAAAAGGAUCCUUUAAAAAUUGAUUAAAAUUUGCUAGACUUACAAAUAAAAUAAUGUCUUAAAGUCAGCUUAAGUCCUUAGGAAUUUUGAAUUUCUAACUUUACUAAGUGAAACAUUUUAAAAACCAAAGUGUUCUCUGAAUGUUCUCUCUUGUAUCCCCGGGCUGCCCUGGACAGUAUUACAGAACUCACAUUAACAGAGUCUGCUGCCCUUGUGUUCCAGUCUGGACUGAUUGCUCUCUAAGCCUGCUGCCCCUACUUACCUGUGUUAGCUUCAUGUGACCCAGACUCUGUACACAUGCGUUCCUCUGAAUCUCAAGGCCACACCCAUCACACUAAAAGGAUUCAGCAUUCUUUCAGGAAGGAGGAAGGGCAAACAUGUCAGGGGCUGGGUAAGAAGUAGAUGUCGAAUAGAAGACCAUUGGUUUUCUGGAAAUCUUGAAAUCUAUUUCAAAGGCUGUCUGCCAAACAGGCUUUCCUCCAAGCCCCAUCCUGUCCUUGCCUCACAUAGUACUCUAUGCCCCAACCCCUCAGUGUUUCUUGGUUUCUUGGAGCAGCUGGUUUGCUUUUCUUUGGUGUCUCCAUCUGCGGUGCCUUCGGAUGCAAUUGCCUCUGCUCUCCAGUAACACGAUGUGUGCCUUCUACUUUCCAAAAACCUGUUGAUACCCUGAUAUUCCUUUCAUUCAUACUCUUUAUGGUUUGUUAUUGUUCCUUUCUUGUCAUUUUAGAAUGGUUUGAGAAGGAGUUAUAGUUAAAUUGCACGAGUUCAGCUUUCAUUAUUGGCUUCACCCAUCAUUUUUAUGGUAUGUAUUAACGUUCAACUAGUUGAACUAGCAUAAUUUGUUUAAAGUCCCAAUUGAAGAUCACUUAAAUUUCUUCUUUUUCUUUCUUGUCGGCUUGUUUUCUUCUGGUUUGGUCUUUGGUAUGGUUCAACCCUUAAUCUUGUAUAUUGCCGUCAGUGUGAUAAGCAAUUUAUCUUUUAAUCUACCCAAAUUUAGAUUAAAGUGAAAGUGAAAUCGCUCAGUCGUGUCUGACUUUUUGCGACCCCAUGGACUGUAGCCUACCAGGCUUCUCCGUUAAGGAGUAAUAUUUCUUUCAAAAAUCAAAAUACUCUGCAAAGUAAAUAAGUAAAAUUUAAAGUAAAAGUCUGGCUUAAAAAAGUACCAAGUAGACUCUUUGGUGUUAAUAUCCUUUUCCAUAACCACCUUAAUAAAUUUAACUCCAUUAUGUACCAUAUUCCAC
ensembl:lncRNA